AAAGCGGUGGGGACCGAGCGGGCAGGAGAGGCCGCGGGGCGGAGCGCUCUGCAUCCUAGUGUCCCGCCCCGGCUACAGCGGCCUCUGCCGGAGACCCGGAGACCCGGAGCGAGGCCCAGGCCAGCCUUGGCUCAGCUUUUCUUUGCGGGUUUCCGUGGGACCAGGAGUCAGAGGAAGGUGCGGGAACUUGCUUGCCUCUUUAUGAUCUUCCAAGUCGAAUGCACGGUGUUUGCCUGGCGCCGGGUACUUCUGAUCAAAUCAAGCGUGUGGAUGGAGUUAAAUCUUCCCGUCAUCUGAUGAAAUGGAUACUGUUGUCUUCACUUCGCAGCUGAGCAAACUGAGGCCCAGGAAAGUCAAGCAACUAACUGUCCAAGGCACAAAGCUUUUGAUUCGUGGGUUUGAGAUUUGGACCUAAGUGUGGCAAUAGGGACACAGGAGACAGGCGUCAAGGUUACCAUGAAAGAAGCCAGCUGGCAGACAGACUGUAAAGUCUUCCCCACCAGGGUUUCAUGCAACAUAGCAGAGAGGGUCAGGACUAUGGAAACAACCCAUAAAGGCUCACUACCCUAGUGGCUGGAGGCUGUUAAGAGUCUCCACCCCCUUUUCCACCUCUCUAAACUAUUCAGUCCUCGGAGAAGUUCCCCUUCUUAGUAAACUGUCUCUGCUUCUAACACUGUCCCUGUGGCCCUGUACCCUUUGUCCUGAGACAUGAGACCCUAGAAUCCCAGCUGGUGACCUCCGAACUCAUCAAUAACCUAAGUGCUCCAGAGACAGGUGCUGUGGGAUAUUUGUGCACUGUGUGAAGACGUGUUGCUGUGAUUGGUGUAAUAAGAAAGCCAAAUGGCCAAUAGCUAGGCAGGAGAGAUUAGGCGGGACUUCCAGGUGAAGAGAGGAAGCCAGAGGGACCAAUCUAGGUGCACAAGCGAUGCCAGCCAAUAGAGAACAAGUUGGACAUAAGGAACAGAGGAAAGAUAACGGAGUUAAAGCAACUGAGUCAUGUGAUAGAACGUAGGUUAAUAGAAAUAGGUUAAGUUAUAAGAGCUACUUAGAAAAAAAAGCCUAGAUUAAGGUCAAGCUUUCAUAAUUAAAAGUCCCCUUGUCGUUAUUUGUGGGCUGCAGUCCAGAUGAGAAAGCUUACUACAUCCAAGCCACUACCUAUGAUGCCUGGGCAAAGUACUGUAUUUCAGUACUUUGCUUUUUUUUUCUUUUGCUGUUGGGACUAUUGAACCCUGGAUUGAACCUCAUGCUAGGCAAACUGUAUCACUGAGCUACCUCUCCAGCCCCUUUGUUGCUUUUCAUGCUUAUGACAGCGACCACCAUAUGUUAAUCCUUCAUUAUCGAUACUUGGAGGACUGGGGGAGAGAUAGCUCCUCAUUGCAAUUUCCAGACCUGAUAUGUAGUCUUCCAUCACCCAUGGGUUCUGCCAAUUCUGAGGUUCUCUAAUCCAUCUAUGUCCAGGGGACUUUCCCCACGGCCACCCCUGAUGCACUGUCCACUCCAGCCUUUCUUCUAGGCUCGGAAAGGUCAGCUUUUCCCGACCUCACCACUGGAGAGACGUUCCCUCGGAAUCAGCGGUCCAGAAAGUACAUCGCAGGGCUCGCAGGAAAGUUCAAUGUCUGUGGUGAGACUUUCCCGACUCAGGCUUCAGACUUGCUCAUCCACACCAUGAUAGGUGUACAUGGUCGAAGAGGCCAUUAAAAGAGGCCUGGCUAGCUGGGAGGACAAUAGAGAAGAGUCUCGUAAGCAAAAGGAGGGAUUCUAGAGCCCUGAAAAGCAAUCCCUUCUCAGGGAAGACAGGAAGGCACACUGAGCAACUGCAAAAGAAUCUGCGGUGGUUCUGGAGUUUGGGGGCGGCCGCGUUCCAGGCGCUGUACAGUUAUGACUUCCGCCCCUGCCCCUUGACAACGUGAGUACUUGAGAGUGGAAAGGGCUGAUAUAAGAUGAAAGCGCUUGGCUCAUUAAGCUCUGCCAUGCUUGGAUGCUGAGGACCUAGCCCAGAGCCUCGAGAGUAUAAGCUUAAAGCGAGCUGAGCUUGUAACUCAUUACCCAUCACUCUGCAGGGCUCAGGGGACACUGCCCGAGACAACUGCCGAGCAGAAGAGUGGCUCGGGGCUUGAGGAUGCUUCUUGCCCUCUCCCUUGGAAAAAUAAAAUAAAGACAAAGCCUAGGAGGUUA